CCAAUCUGCGCCGAGCUUUGUCUUUCACACCCACCGCGGGAAGCUCUGCCCCCGCUGACUCCCGACCUUGGCCCCGCCCACCCCAGGCCCUCGUCAGGAUCCCACAUUCUUUGUAAAUCCUGGUGAUCAUGAAGCUGUCCUUCCGUAAUCGGUGUCGCCCUUAAUGUAUUAAACUCUAACCUGCAAGACCAUAGUCAUCGGAAAUAGAAGUCUGUAUUUCAGACUCCAUGCAUCUGAAAUUCUUCACGAUGACGUAAGUGGAAACUAACAACACAGCCUAUCAGAUGGUCUUUUGCAACCUGCAGAGUCGGUUGCACAGCCCGCACCUCUUCAUUUCCGCAUAGCCGAGCUUCAGCUGCCUGCCUGCCUCCUUGAGAGCAGAACACUGCGCCUGCUUCGGAUAACUCAGACAUGAGUUGAGGCACAACGACAACUCUGUUGUAGAGGAAAAUGAAGGUACAAGUGACGUAGGCGGGGAGCACAGCGUCCAGUUACCCUGAGAGUGUUCCAGAGAAUGAGAAGCUGCAUUGACCUUAACUGACAGAGAGAAAGGGGCCCUGACCCCAGGACCAGCUCCUGUCCUUCUGUAGACAGAUGUGGGUUGCCUCCUGGCCACGGCCGUGCUGUGUCAGUUGAGACACAGAACUCAAGGAUGAGGGUGCUGGGUGAAGGAGCUGCAGUCCUCGUGAGUCCGAAGGCUCCCCGCCCUCAGGCGCAGCAUUUGCCACACUGCCGCCCCACCCGGAAGGAAGGGAACCAGGGGCAGGCUGCUUUCCAGGUCCCAUGGGGACGGUCUUGGGCCCUAGAAGUGUCCAGAAAAGGUCAGCAGGUAUGGCCGUCCCCUCCCCUCCUCUGCAGGACACCUGAAGGCUCUCUCUGGCUUGGCUACAAUCCUGCCUUGGCCUGCCAGCCCUCUGGGCUCAGGUCCACAGAGAGGAGGGAGGAAGCCUCUGCCCCAGCGUAACUGCAGCCACCACCAGCACCACACUUUGUGCAACCACUUUGUGGGGCUGCGGAUUGAACCCCGGGCCUCACACACGUGAGGAGUGCACCCCUCGCUUUCCUUUUCUAAAAACUUUAAAAGCAGUUUAGAUUCACAGCAAAAGGAAGAGGAAGGUACAGAGAUUUCCCCUACGCUUCCCCACACGGCAUCUUAUCUUUGACGGCUCAUUUUACCUCCUGCUUGCUGGACUCUGGGCUGCAGCGCUGGGCGGAGCUGCCUGUGACGGAGCCCGCCCAACCCGGGAGUAUUUGGACUCUUACUGCCUCAAUGGAGGGGGCAGCUCACGAAGUCUGUACUUUAAAACUGUUUCAGGCAAAUGUUCUUUGCUGUUUUAUUGAAAGUUUAUGCUCCAUUUGUAUACAAAGCUUUUGUUUCUCCUUUAUCCUAAAGAGACACUGUUAGGUCACUCCCCUCAGUCUGGGUGUGUGGUGAAAGAGCGGAGAAAUGACUUGCAUGGCCUGGGGAAAGUUUGCAUGUGGGUCCACAGAGCAGUGCUACAGGGUACCAAGAGAAGACACGUGAGGCUGGUGGUACUGGGUCCAGGCAGUGGGACAAUGCCUGCACCAGUGGAGGCGGCCUCCAGGGACCUCCUUCUUUGCCACUCGAGCCCGGAGUGUCUACGAAGCGCUUUCUUCCUGGUCCUUGGUGACUACAGGAAGGGGUGUGGGAGCUCUGUGUUCUGCCAGGCCUCUGCAGCCUGCGGUCCGUGCCUCUCACUAAUAUCACCGGGGGCUCUGUGGCUCAUGCUGUGCUCCGUGACAACCAUCUGUGUCCAGUUCCUGCACUGAGACUGACUCCAACACGAGCAUGCCUAAGCACUGGCCGGGCUUGCGAAGAGCUGGAAGUUCCCAUAAAGCUUCUGAGAGAGGAGUGAAUGUAUUAAAAUGGAAUUCCUGGCAGAGACCAGAACCAGUCAUGUUACAGUGAAGGCAACACUUUACAUUACCCUUCAAAAAGCUGAUAUAUUUCCACCCCUUUUCUUUCC